GCCUUCGUGGUGUAGUGGUCAGUACGCUCGACGCGUAACCGCGAGGUCCGUGGUUCGAUUCCCGGCAAAGGCG
rnacentral:tRNA from 1 species